GACGAACGCUGGCGGCGUGCUUAACACAUGCAAGUCGAACGGAAAGGCCCUGCUUUUGUGGGGUGCUCGAGUGGCGAACGGGUGAGUAACACGUGAGUAACCUGCCCUUGACUUUGGGAUAACUUCAGGAAACUGGGGCUAAUACCGGAUAGGAGCUCCUGCUGCAUGGUGGGGGUUGGAAAGUUUCGGCGGUUGGGGAUGGACUCGCGGCUUAUCAGCUUGUUGGUGGGGUAGUGGCUUACCAAGGCUUUGACGGGUAGCCGGCCUGAGAGGGUGACCGGCCACAUUGGGACUGAGAUACGGCCCAGACUCGUACGGGAGGCAGCAGUGGGGAAUAUUGCACAAUGGGCGGAAGCCUGAUGCAGCAACGCCGCGUGCGGGAUGACGGCCUUCGGGUUGUAAACCGCUUUCGCCGGUGACGAAGCGUGAGUGACGGUAAUGGGUAAAGAAGCACCGGCUAACUACGUG
rnacentral:rRNA from 1 species